GGAACAAAAGAAGGUAACUCAUCUUUCUUUUGCACGAAUGAAUGGAUGUUUCCUACGAUUCUUUGUCGAGAUAUUGGAGAGUUAUUUCCAUGCUAAGAAGGUGAAAUCCCGAUCUUCAGGACCAAUAUUGUCUUUCUUUCUAUCUAUAAAAUAUUAUAUAGAAUUAAAUAGAAAAGACUAAACAAUUAAAGAAGUCUUCUGGCACAAAUAAUGAUGCC
rnacentral:lncRNA from 1 species